ACGAUCGGCUCCGUUAGACUUGAUCUAGAGUAUUUGAAGUAUCUAGAAAAUAAAUUUUGAGAUUUUUCGAUAUCAUUUCCCUAGUGAUCGAAGUGGCUCAAAAUCAACGGCUGAAAAUAAAAAUCUUACAAAAUAUGAUGAUAUGACAUUAAAAUUUUAGAUCAAAGUUAUUGAUCUUGUUUUAUAUGGUACAAAGAAUUUUCUAUCAAAAUUUCAUGUUAUUUGAAUAUUUCUACACCGUUAAAUUUGCAACCGGCUCACCACGGCCGUUAAAAUUAUUGAUUUUGAGCCCCUUCAAUCACUAGGUAAAUGAUAUCGAAAAAUCGCAAAAUUUAUUUUCUAGGUACUUCAAAUACUCUAGAUCAAGUCUAACGGAGGCGAUCGUCGAUUCGAAUGUCCGAACGUCGAAAACGACUUGGAAGCACGGAGGCCUCCGCCUCCGUGCUUCCAUAAGCAUACCAGCCCACAACGGGCAUAAAUGCUCUAGAAAAAUUUCAAAAUUUUUCGAUUUUGACCGUUCAUUUUAUACCGGCUUGAUGAACUUUAUUAUGAUUUCGAAAAAUUACAAAAUUUAUUUUCUACAAGUUUUAAAGACUCUAGAUCAAAUUUAACGGAGUGGAUCGUCGAUUCAGAAGCUCCAUCAUUGAAAAUAAUUUACGAGUAUGAAGGGCUUUAUACUCAUAAAAGUGUAGUAGUCCUAACAUAUAUAUAUAUAUAUAUAUAUAUAUAUAGAGAGAGAGAGAGAGAGAGAGAGAGAGAGAGAGAGAGAGAGAGAGAGAGUGGGCUGGUAUGCUUAUGGAAGCACGGAGCCCUCCGUGCUUCUAAGUUGUUUUCAAUGUUCGGACUUUUGAAUCGACGAUCGGCUUUGUUAGAGUUGAUCUAGAGUAUUUGAAGUACCUAGAAAAUAAAUUUUGUGAUUUUUCGAUAUCAUUUGCCUAGUGAUCGAAGGGGUUCAAAAUCAAUAAUUUUAAUGGCCGUGGUGAGCCGGUUGCAAGUUUAACGGUGUAGAAAUAUCCAAAUCACAUGAAAUUUUGAUAGAAAAUUCUUUAUACCAUAUAAAACAAGAUCAAUAACUUUGAUCUAAAAUUUUAAUGUCAUAUCAUCAUAUUUUGUAAGAUUUUUAUUUUCAGCCGUUGAUUUUGAGCCACUUCGAUCACUAGGCAAAUGAUAUCGAAAAAUCGCAAAAUUUAUUUUCUAGAUAAUUCAAAUACUCUAGAUCAAGUCUAAC
rnacentral:lncRNA from 1 species